rnacentral:rRNA from 1 species
CGUGGGUAACCUGCCUUAUAGUGGGGGAGUAGCCUUUCGAAAGGAAGAUUAAUACCGCAUAAGAUUGUAGUAUCGCAUGAUAUAGCAAUUAAAGGAGCAAUUCGCUAUAAGAUGGACCCGCGUCGCAUUAGCUAGUUGGUGAGGUAAUGGCUCACCAAGGCGACGAUGCGUAGCCGACCUGAGAGGGUGAUCAGCCACAUUGGGACUGAGACACGGCCCAGACUCCUACGGGAGGCAGCAUG